CAGUCGCCGCGGUAAUACGAAGGGUGCAAGCGUUAAUCGGAAUUACUGGGCGUAAAGCGCACGUAGGCGGCUUGGUAAGUUAGAGGUGAAAGCCUGGAGCUCAACUCCAGAAUUGCCUUUAAGACUGCCGAGCUAGCAGGUGAGAGAGGUAAGUGGAAUUCCGAGUGUAGAGGUGAAAUUCGUAGAUAUUCGGAAGAACACCAGUGGCGAAGGCGGCUUACUGGCUCAUACUGGGCGCUGAGGUGCGAAAGCGUGGGGAGCAAACAGGAUUAGAUACCCGCGUAGUCCCUGUCUCUUAUAA
rnacentral:rRNA from 1 species